rnacentral:rRNA from 1 species
GAUGAACGCUGGCGGCGUGCCUAAUACAUGCCAGUCGAGCGAACAGACGAGGAGCUUGCUCCUCUGACGUUAGCGGCGGACGGGUGAGUAACACGUGGAUAACCUACCUAUAAGACUGGGAUAACUUCGGGAAACCGGAGCUAAUACCGGAUAAUAUAUUGAACCGCAUGGUUCAAUAGUGAAAGACGGUUUUGCUGUCACUUAUAGAUGGAUCCGCGCCGCAUUAGCUAGUUGGUAAGGUAACGGCUUACCAAGGCAACGAUGCGUAGCCGACCUGAGAGGGUGAUCGGCCACACUGGAACUGAGACACGGUCCAGACUCCUACGGGAGGCAGCAGCAGGGAAUCUUCCGCAAUGGGCGAAAGCCUGACGGAGCAACGCCGCGUGAGUGAUGAAGGUCUUCGGAUCGUAAAACUCUGUUAUUAGGGAAGAACAAAUGUGUAAGUAACUAUGCACGUCUUGACGGUACCUAAUCAGAAAGCCACGGCUAACUACGUG